GACGUAUUUGACGUUAUGCUCUGCUGCGUCCUCUCUGGUGCAGGGGGGUUUCUAUAAUGGCGUCGAUGCAGAAAAGGCUACAGAAGGAACUAUUAGCUUUACAGAAUGAGCCACCCCCUGGAAUGACAUUAAAUGAGAAGAGUGUGCAGAACACAAUAACACAGUGGAUUGUAGAUAUGGAAGGAGCCCCCGGUACACUGUAUGAAGGAGAAAAGUUUCAGCUUCUAUUCAAAUUCAGUAGUCGAUAUCCUUUUGAUUCACCUCAGGUACUUCCAUAUGUAAUGUCUUUUCAUUUGUUUGUUUUUAUGAUCUGUAGCACCAAAAAAAAGCACCUUCGGAGAUGACCAGUCACGGUUUAUUUUCAAGUGUUAUUUUCACUGUUUAUUCCACUUCCCAGUCCUGCAUAAGCUGCACUGCCAGGCAUGUCACACCUGGGCCAGCAAACAGUUCAGAUUAAGAGCGUGAAUCGGAAAAUGAAAUCAUUUGCAGAUUAAAAAUAUUUCAGCAAGUUUUAUUUUCAUCCUUGAAUAUCAGUUAAUUUAUUUUCUAUGAUUAAUAAAAAUAUAUUUUACUAAAUGUUUCUUGCACGGCUUUAUUUCCUGGCCACAU